GUUGCUUCUUGCGGGCCAUUAGGCCUUCGGGUCCCAGCCACGCCUGGCCUCCUUCGUGUGUCACCUAAAAGGCUGCAGGGCCUGGCGGUUGCUUUUCCUGCUUGUGGUCACUCACACCCAGGGGUGUCUGUCUGGAGAAGUCAUGGAAGGGCUGAGAUGACUACUUAACCGGAGGCAGGGGGCACAGAUUUUAAAAAUGGAGACUCGUUCACUAUGCGACCAUAUGUAACCCCGAAUUCCAGCUCCAAACCGGAAGUUCAGAUACUCCUUAAGUUCAGCUACUAGGAGCUCGGGGGAAGGGAUGCCUCACCCCAGCAGCAGAGACAGGAAGCAGGAGUUGGGGCAUCCCUCUGGCCCCUGCAGACUUGCCAUGGGGUGCUCUCCCCAGCUGCAAGGCAGCACUUCCAGGGGCUGGGGGAUAAGGCCUCCUGGGACAGAGGAAGCCCAGCCCUUCCCUGGCAUUCAGAGAGCCAUAGAGGGAGCAUGACUCUGGAAACCCAGGGGCCAGACUGGCACUGAAGGGACAGCUCACAUGGCCCAAGAGAUCCCCAGGCUCCUCCCCAGGGUGCCAGCCCAGGGAAGAUCAUGCCUUCCGGCUGACCAGUGUCUAUGCAGUCCAAGAGGUGACACCAGCCAUCACCACCCUGUCCAUGGCUUCCCAGCUCUUCCCUGGAAUGAGCCUGACCUGGGAGACGCAUCCUGCUUUCUUCAGGGUCCUCGGAGUUGUGGCCAUGAUGAGCCACGUGGGGCUGUCCCCCCAGACAGCCUGCUGCGGGCUGGGGUCUCUCUUCUCCAAACAGGACGGAACCUCUGCUCUGCCCCACAGCUUCUCUGUGCAGCUGUCCUACUAUGGGCUGGUCCUGGACCUGCAGAGCCUGGGCAGGGACAUCUUCCUCCUGCAGGCCCUCUUUGGGGCCAUGGACUUCCUGGGCCGGGCCACCACUGUCCUGUUGUUCAGGCUCCUCGGUCGCCGCAUGACCCAGGCUAGCUCCCUGGCCCUGGCUGGCUUCUGCAUCCUGGCCAAUGGGCUGGUGCCUCAAGAUCUGCAGAGCCUGCGCGUGGCCCUCGCCGUGCUGGGGAAAGGAUGUUUUGGCAUCAGCCUGACCUGCCUGACCAUAUACAGGGUGGAGCUCUUCCCCACGCCUCUGCGGAUGACUGCCGAAGGCUUCCUGCAGUCGGUCGGCCGCCUGGGGGCGAUGGUGGGCCCCCUGAUCCGGAUGGCCCGCCAGGCCCUGCCUUUGCUGCCUCCACUGACCUACAGUAUCAUCCCUGUGGCCUCCAGUCUGCUUCUCCUGCUUUUCCUCCCGGACACCCAGGGACUUCCACUGCCGGACACCAUCUGGGACCUGCAGGGCAGGAGAUCUGCUGUGCCUGGGGGCCACCGGCAAGAGGCGGUCAUUGUGGAAAGCACCUGGCUCUAGGAGUUUUGCCUGCUCUGAGUUCCUUUGACCAAAACACUGGAUGAAGAAGUCACCUCUUCUCCAAUCUGAGGGUUCCAGACAAUCGGGCAGCCCCGGGGCUGGGGGCAGGGUGGGGCAGGCAACCAAGCUGUCUCUUCAAGGUGGUGAGGGGGCGCCUGCUGAUCACCCCUGUUCUCCUGUCUCUGGCUACCCUCUCCAACCUGCCUCAGCCCUAAUAGGAGCCUGUUGUCAGGUGGCCACGGCUGCCCUGGUUGCCCUGGAUUAGUUUCACCAACAACACGGGUCCUCGCCCUGCCUGCUGGCACUCAGCCACCCCAGGUGAAGCAGGAGUUCCAGUCUCACUGCCCCGCUCACAGAGCUCCCACUGUAAACAGAAAAUGUUCCCCAAGCCUCGUCCCAGGGUGACUAUCCGAGCUCACUGAUCUUGCAACAGGCUGCAGUUCAGCACGUGGAGCUGUUAGCAGAGUGACCUGGUACGGGUGUCCAGGUUGUGCCUGCCCCAAGGCACCCAGCUAGGGAGGUGUGUGGCGUCUGGCAUCCAGCCCAGUCUCCCUGGCCCAGCCACCUGCCAUACAGGGGCUUUCUUAUCCUCUGUAAGAAAGGAGCUGUGUUAGUUACCAGUGCAUGAGAACCUUCCUGACCUGGGCUCCAAGGAUGCCACACACAUGGCCCGGCCUGGACAGAUGACAUUGGCAGUGGUUGGUCACAUAUACUCGUGGUUCAAAGAGGAUAACACUGUGUAGGGACAUAUGGGGCUGCCCUGGGAGCAGAGACCCCCCCGGGGGUGGGCGAUGCCUGGCUCUUGCAGGCUGGUGUGUGUGGCAGGAAGUGGAAGCCCGGGCUGGGGAUUUAGCUCAGUGGCAUAAGCGCCUGCCUUGCAAGCAGGCAGUCGUGAGUUCGAUCCCCGGUACCGAUAAAAAGGACAAAGACAAAAAAAAAAAAAAAAUGGAAGUGGAAGCCCGCUAGGGUAAGGGUGGGAGGAGUGGCCUUUCAUUCUCUGCUUUCCGAAGGAAACUUUCUCACCUCCAGUGCUACCAGGUUAACUCCCCUCUGCAUAGUUUCCAGGUACAUCUAUUCCCCCUUUGCUAUGGCUGUCACCGGAAGUGUCCAGACUGAUUCCUGAUACCUGUAUUGUCCUCCACAACAGCAACCAUGUUUAUACAGAAACAUAAUUCAAGCCAAACCCCCUCUUUGUUUAAAACCUUCCAGAGCUCAUAAUAAAAUCGCUCUUCUCCCCAGCAAAAGUCUGGGUCCAGCGCCUGUGGGUCCCCAGCUUUCUUUGACAUGUAAUAAAUUUUAAAGGAUUCAAAUCAUAUCAAUAAUGUUCUUGGGCAGUCAUGGAAUUAAACUAGAAAUCAGAAACAAACAAAAAAAUCCAGAAAAC
rnacentral:lncRNA from 1 species